CCUACGGGGGGCUGCAGUGGGGAAUAUUGCACAAUGGGGGAAACCCUGAUGCAGCGACGCCGCGUGAGUGAAGAAGUAUCUCGGUACGUUAAGCUCUAUCAGCAGGGAAGAAAAAAAGUCCUUUGGACUUUGGACGGUACCUGACCAAGAAGCCCCGGCUAACUACGUGCCAGCAGCCGCGGUAAUACGUAGGGGGCAAGCGUUAUCCGGAUUUACUGGGUGUAAAGGGAGCGUAGACGGCAGCGCAAGUCUGGAGUGAAAUGCCGGGGCCCAACCCCGGAACUGCUUUGGAAACUGGGCAGCUGGAGUGCAGGAGAGGUAAGCGGAAUUCGUGGUGUAGCGGUGAAAUGCGUAGAUAUUAGGAAGAACACCAGUGGCGAAGGCAGCUUACUGGACUGUAACUGACGUUGAGGCUCGAAGGCGUGGGGAGCGAACAGGAUUAGAUACCCCGGUAGUC
rnacentral:rRNA from 1 species